GAUGAACGCUGGCGGCGUGCUUAACACAUGCAAGUCGAACGGAAGUUUUAAAAGGAAGUUUUCGGAUGGAAUUUUAAAACUUUAGUGGCGGACGGGUGAGUAACGCGUGGGUAACCUGCCGUAUACAGGGGGAUAACACUUAGAAAUAGGUGCUAAUACCGCAUAAGCGCACAGCAUCGCAUGAUGCAGUGUGAAAAGCUCCGACGGUAUACGAUGGACCCGCGUCUGAUUAGCUAGUUGGUGAGGUAGAGGCUCACCAAGGCGACGAUCAGUAGCCGGCCUGAGAGGGUGACCGGCCACAUUGGGACUGAGACACGGCCCAAACUCCUACGGGAGGCAGCAGUGGGGAAUAUUGCACAAUGGGGGGAAACCCUGAUGCAGCGACGCCGCGUGAGUGAAGAAGUAUUUCGGUAUGUAAAGCUCUAUCAGCAGGGAAGAAAAUGACGGUACCUGACUAGAAGCCCCGGCUAACUACGUG
rnacentral:rRNA from 1 species